rnacentral:rRNA from 1 species
AUUGAACGCUGGCGGCAUGCUUUACACAUGCAAGUCGAACGGUAACAGGUUAAGCUGACGAGUGGCGAACGGGUGAGUAAUGCAUCGGAACGUGCCCGAUCGUGGGGGAUAACGCAGCGAAAGCUGCGCUAAUACCGCAUACGAUCUGAGGAUGAAAGCGGGGGACCGUAAGGCCUCGCGCGAUCGGAGCGGCCGAUGUCAGAUUAGGUAGUUGGUGGGGUAAAGGCCCACCAAGCCGACGAUCUGUAGCUGGUCUGAGAGGACGACCAGCCACACUGGGACUGAGACACGGCCCAGACUCCUACGGGAGGCAGCAGUGGGGAAUUUUGGACAAUGGGCAAAAGCCUGAUCCAGCAAUGCCGCGUGCAGGAAGAAGGCCUUCGGGUUGUAAACUGCUUUUGUACGGAGCGAAAAGGUCCUUUCUAAUACAAGGGGCUCAUGACGGUACCGUAAGAAUAAGCACUGGCUAACUACGUGCCAGCCGCCGCAGUAA